AUGAUCGAGAAUCGACACUUAUGUGCUCAACAAUAGAAUCACAUUCUAUUACUGCUUAUCAUUGUGCUAUUGUGUUAACAUUGUUUCUUCUUAUUAUAUUUUGUACAUGUAGGAUAUUUCAUUUUCAUUGUGCUUCUUAGUUUAAUUUUAUAUACAUGUUAAGUAGUUUUUGAUUUAAAAUUAGACAUUUACAAUUGGAUUUUCAAUUGGAUCCAGCCUCUUCCUUCAGCCCUGACUUGUGCAGAAAAUCAUUCAUUGUAUCUCCAAGUCCCCUCUCACUCCCUUUGUCCUCACUGUGCAUCAACUCCAAAAGCUGCUUAUGUGAUCCUUCACAUUCUGGCAAUCGGCCCGGCUGCUGGCAUAGAUAUAAGAAAUGUAUGUGCAGGGUAGCCCGUGACAGCCAUAAGCUUAUCACAAAAUGUCAUGUCAAAUGCUCAUUCCCAGGUUUAAUGCUGCAUUUAAUGGAGUUUGUCAAGCUCAAUCCACUUGGGUAGUCCAAGAUGCAGAGCUUCGAGGGGAAGUCCAUAGGUCAAUACUUGAUGAGCUGACUCCUGCCUACAACUCCGUUUUGGGGCAAAACAGGAGCCUUUCUGGCAACCUAGUGAGACACAUCAGAUACACGGUCAAUGACCUUGAAGUGACACAUAUUCAUGAAGGUGUAUGCUGACCACUCUACAAUAUUGGUUCUGAAAAAUUCGGGAGUAUAUUAGAUAAUCAUGGCAAGUGUGCACUUCUUUGUAGAACUCAGAUUUGCCCUUCAAGUUAUACUUCAAGAUUCUGAUAAUCCAAACCACAUGGAGUUCAAACGGAGCUUUUCCAGCAACCUCCAAAUACACCAAAUCAUCAUCAAUCUCCAUACUUGUUGUCGGCUGAGAUUCUAUCAUCGGAUUACCGUAUUUCGGCUAAUUGAGGAGGCAGGUAGCAACCUGAGAGGUUAUCUUGAGCUUAAUCCAGCAGCAUUCCCCUCUCCACUGUUUUUUUUCUG